GUUUUUCAUAGCCACCGUGCUUCUACACCUGCAUUGCUUGCUGUUUGGGGUUUUAGGCUGGGUUUCUGUACAGCACUUUGAGAUAUCAGCUGAUGUACGAAGGGCUAUAUAAAUAAAUUUGAUUUAAUUUGAGCUGCCGGUUGCUAGGUGAUGGCUGGUGGAUGGGGUAGCAGGUUGCUAGGUGAGGGGUGGUGGAUGGGAUAGCAGGUCUCUUGUGGAUGGGUGGUGGUUUCUAGGUGAGGGGUGGUAGAUGGUAUAUCAGGUUGCUAGGUGAGGGGUGGUGGAUGGGAUAGCAGGUCUCUAGGGGAUGGGUGGUGGUUGCUAGGUGAGGGGUGGUAGAUGGUAUAGCAGGUCUCUAGGGGAUGGGUGGUGGUUGCUAGGUGAGGGGUGGUAGAUGGGAUAGCAGGUCUCUAGGGGAUGGGUGGUGGUUGCUAGGUGAGGGGUGGUAGAUGGUAUAUCAGGUUGCUAGGUGAGUGGUGGUGGAUGGGACAGCAGGUCUCUAGGGGAUGGGUGGUGGUUGCUAGCUGAGGGGUGGUGGAUGGGAUAGCAGGUCUCUAGGGGAUUGGUGGUGGUUGCUAGGUGAGGGGAGGUAGAUGGGAUAGCAGGUCUCUAGGUGAUGGGUGUUGGUUGCUAG
ensembl:lncRNA